AACGAACGCUGGCGGCAUGCCUAACACAUGCAAGUCGAACGGGAUCCUGGCUUCGGCCAGGUGAGAGUGGCGGACGGGUGAGUAACGCGUGGGAACCUGCCCAUUGGUCUGGGAUAACUGCGGGAAACUGCAACUAAUACCGGAUGUACCCGAGAGGGGAAAGAUUUAUCGCCGAUGGAGGGGCCCGCGUCAGAUUAGGUAGUUGGUGAGGUAACGGCUCACCAAGCCUACGAUCUGUAGCUGGUCUGAGAGGAUGAUCAGCCACACUGGGACUGAGAUACGGCCCAGACUCCUACGGGAGGCAGCAGUGGGGAAUAUUGGACAAUGGGGGGCAACCCUGAUCCAGCAAUGCCGCGUGAGUGAUGAAGGCCUUAGGGUUGUAAAGCUCUUUUACCAGGGACGAUGAUGACGGUACCUGGAGAAUAAGCCCCGGCUAACUUCGUGCCAGCAGCCGCGGUAAU
rnacentral:rRNA from 1 species